rnacentral:rRNA from 1 species
GUUUGAUCCUGGCUCAGAACGAACGCUGGCGGCAGGCUUAACACAUGCAAGUCGAGCGCCCCGCAAGGGGAGCGGCAGACGGGUGAGUAACGCGUGGGAACGUACCUUUUGCUACGGAAUAACUCAGGGAAACUUGUGCUAAUACCGUAUGUGCCCUUCGGGGGAAAGAUUUAUCGGCAAAGGAUCGGCCCGCGUUGGAUUAGCUAGUUG